rnacentral:lncRNA from 1 species
GACAUAUGGACAGGAAAUGGGCAAGACACGGGCCUUUCAGAGAAGAGAGACCAAAGAUGUUUGCAGAGAGGCAGGCUUUGCGCAACCUGUAAAGAAUGAGUAAGGUUUGAAUAGCAGCUACAACAAAUAUUGAUUGAGAGCCUGCUGUGUGCCAGACUGUGGGCCCGGCACUUGGAAUUUGGCCGUGAACCUAGCAGACACAGUGGCUGCCCAUUUACAUAGCGUGCAGUCGAGUGUGGGAGUUUACAGUCUAGCUGUGAAAUAAACCUGUAGGUUUAAUUAUGGUGGGAGCUCAGAGAGCGGGGUAGGAGACUGUCCUGGUCUGGGACCUCCACUGCUGAGGAAGGGUCACCUAAGCUGGGGCCUGCAGGAGGAGGGAGGAAAGGGGCCAGGAUGUUCCAGAGGAGGAAUAGCAAAUGUACACUCCAGAUAAGAAGGGCCUGGUGGAGAUUAGAAAGGGUGGAAAGAAGCCAUGUCACACUGUGUUUGCAACCACUCUCCCCCACACCCAACCUCACCUGUGACACAGAAUGGUCUGCCUGGGCCUCAGUCACAUUGGAGGAGCAGAGAGAGAAGGAGCCAUGAGGAGUCACUCAAGGGUUUUAGGCAGAGCCGUGACACAACCAGAGAUACUACGAGCAAAGGUUCCGGAACAGGGCAGGGCAGGACAGGUUUGAGAGCAAUGGCGCGAUUUCGGCUCACAGCAACCUCCGCCUCCUGGGUUCAAGCUAUUCUCCUGCCUCAACAACCUCCUGAGGGCUGGGAUUACAGGUCCUCAGAGCCACCUCCAUCUUCCUCCUUGCAAUGAAUCCCACUCCACUCACACCACGGGUCCCGGCUACACUUCGCCAUCUUCUCUGUCUGCUGGCAAAAAUGACCUCAAGUAUUUCUUCCAUAUGUAGGUUUUCGUCCACGGUUCCAGGCUCAUAACUCCCACAGCCCUGUUUAGAGCCUUUGAUUAUGAUGUUGGCUGUGUU